GAAAUGAGGAUGGAAGAGUGUGCAGAGCCUGAGACACUUCAAUGCCAGGUCCAGAAGCUUGCAGUUUCUCUUCAAGGCCACAAGGAGCCAUAGAAGGUUAUAGAGCAGGGGAGUGCAGCACCAUCAGAGCUGCAAUUGAGCUCCAGGCCUCAGGUGUGUAGCAGACAAAGGCACCCCUAAUUCAAGGGGUGAAUCAGGCAUGGUCUCUACCCUUGCAGAGAGUUUGGGUACCUGAGCCCAUGGGGGACUGGGAAGCUGCUUCCCCACCCCAGUUUCCUCAUCAGCAAAAUGGACCCAGGUAUGUGAUGUAGCAUUUCCUGACCCAAGGGACCCAACAAACAGCUGCGAUAGGAUUUUGGAGGGACCUGUACCCGCACCUCCACCUUCACAAGUUGUGCAUUUAUUUCAUGGUUUAAUGACUUCACCUUCUUUUGGACUUUUAUAUUAUGAAAAAUUUCAAACCUAUAGAAAAGUAGACAGAAUAGUAUCAUGAAUACCCACAUACCUAUCACCCAGAUUUAAUAAAUCUUAACAUUUUGUCAUGCUUCA
rnacentral:lncRNA from 1 species